AAAAGAAAAGAAAAAGAAAAAAGAUUGACGAACGAAUAUGGAUCGAAGUUUCAAGAACAACAUGGACUUCAAGAUGAAUCAGCAAAACUUUAAAUUGAGUGAUUUUGGCCUCGACGGUAAAUUAUCAUCCAGCGUACAUUCGAAAGUGAUUCGGAGUUCGGUAAGGACCGGUUGUUCGUGUUACUCUCAAAUCGAAUCCGUUCAAAUCCGAGGGACAUUUUCGAAUAACGGUGAUAGUCAUAGUAAUAGUCUUGCACAAAGUGGGACCAAUGAACUAAACCUCUCUAGACUAUCUUCAAACGUAGGAAGAAGAGAUAUCGAUACUCCAAUCGUUUGCAACGAUCAUUUUCGAACUUCUUCGUCUUCGUCUUCUUCUUCUUCUUCUUCUCCUUCUUCCGCUUCCUCCGCCACUUCUACCUCUUCUUCUUCAUCCUCGAGUCAAGCUCGAAAGAUUGGCCAAUCAGCGAGUAACCUAUUCGUUGAUAGCUUUCAAACUUCCAAUCCAAGCAACAACAAUACUGCUAUUCCUUUGUCAGGAACUACUAGUUCGAUACUACAAGGAAAUGUUUCUUCGAUCCCGUCGCCGAAUUAUUGGAAGCAAUAUGGCGGCCAGGAAAGUGGGUAUGGCUCGGACGAAUUCGCACAAGACUCUCCGAGAUAUACCUCGUCAAAAGCUGCGGCCAUCUAUAGUGAUACAUAUUAUAUCGAUGGAAAUGCAGCGGGUACGGGUUCUAGUGAUCCAUGGACGGGAGGUGGCGGUAGUGUUCAACAACCCCCGUAUAGCGGAUACGCUCCCCCUCACCUGGCUCAACCAGCCUACCCCAUGCACAUAUCCCAUGAUCCCAUGGCAUACUCAUCGAUGUCACCGAACGGUGAACCAGCAGCGCCGAUCCUUGGUUCGGCUGUGACCAGUGCGGCUUCACUUCCGCCGAUGUCGACAUUCCGGGGUAGCGCGGCUGUUGCGGUAGCAGCAGCAGCGAACAGUGGCACUGGAGCACCUUCUCCAGCAUCUUUGCAAUAUAGUCAUAGUCCUGGCGCACCAACCACUGCACCAUCGGCGCCAAACGCCGCACCCACCAACAAUCAACAACCACCUACGGGGGACACUCUUGGCAAAACUCUAGCCUCAGUAGUGAGCACAAGAAUCUUUCCCACGGACCAAUCAGUAUCGAGUUACAGUAGUAACCCAUCAACGCCGGUCAGUUCGCCACCACCUUUAACGGGAUCGACACCAAGUUGGGCACCUGGUGCUGCACCGGUAUCACCACAUUUUACUGCAGAUCCCAAUCGUGGCACUAUUCACAUGCCGGCGCCUGAACAGCAGAGGCUAGACGAUGCCAUCGGCUUCCUUCGCGACCAAGUCGAGUUGGUACAGGGAACGCGGAUGGAGGAACGAUUGGACGAUGCCAUAAAUGUUCUCAGGAACCAUGCAGAAAGUCAAUUAGGUCUUCAUUUAGUUGGCGGUCCUCAUGGUUCUAUUUAUUCUCACACAUCACCACCGCAGUUGGAUCAUUUGACAAGUCCACAUCCUGCGGUAACGGUAGCGCAACCACCGGGUUCAUAUCCUGGUCUUACACCAACACCCGAUACGGACGGUUCUAUUAAAAUAGAAAGGUUACCUGUUACAAAUGCCACAGAAUACAUCUCUCUAGAAAAGAGAAAAGAUACACCGGACAGUAGUGGCGGUGAAACAAAACCUUCGAGUAGCGAAUUAGCAGCUGCUGGUGUAAUUGGUACGACGACAGUUAAUUCGACGUCACAAGGAAAAGGAACGAAAAGGUCGCGUAGGUAUUGUUCGAGUGCUGACGAAGAUUGUGAUGAUCCUGGCACCAAAGCGGUGCGUGAAAAAGAACGUCGACAAGCCAACAACGUUCGUGAAAGGAUACGUAUUAGGGACAUCAAUGAAGCUUUAAAAGAACUUGGAAGAAUGUGUAUGACACAUUUAAAGACAGACAAACCUCAAACGAAGCUUGGUAUCCUUAAUAUGGCUGUUGAAGUUAUCAUGACACUUGAACAGCAAGUUAGAGAACGAAAUCUUAAUCCAAAAGCAGCAUGCCUGAAAAGAAGAGAAGAAGAAAAAGCAGAAGAUGGACCAAAGUUACCUGGUCAUUUAGCUGCCCACAUAGCACAUCCACAUCCUCACCCUCAUGCACAUUCUCAACCACCCUUUCCCGCGUUGCCUGGUCCACCACCUUCCCUUCAACACAAUCCAACGCAGCCGCAGUAGCAGCGGCUCUGCGGCGGUAUCAUCCUGUGUUAAGGGCUUGCAUAAUAGAGAUAUUAUUUCCAAAGAAACUUGGAAAGAAUUUAUCGGCAUAUCGAUUGGAACUGUGAUAAAAUAGCAACAAAUAUUAAGGAAUGUGGACGUAUGCAACAGUUUCAACACAGUCAUUAGAUUGCUCUAGUUCCAUUAUGUUCACGAAUGUCGAUAAAGUUGCGGAUUCUAUGAUGGAAUCGUUCGAAACAGGAUUUAAUUUUAUCAGCAGAAGUGAUAAAUAUUAAAAAGCUACAUGUUUUGUGAGAAAUACACUUAGCCAUAUAAUAUAAAGAAACUUUUCAUAUUA
rnacentral:misc_RNA from 1 species